rnacentral:rRNA from 1 species
GAUGAACGCUGGCGGCGUGCCUAAUACAUGCAAGUCGAGCGAACAGACGAGGAGCUUGCUCCUCUGACGUUAGCGGCGGACGGGUGAGUAACACGUGGAUAACCUACCUAUAAGACUGGGAUAACUUCGGGAAACUGGAGCUAAUACCGGAUAAUAUAUUGAACCGCAUGGUUCAAUAGUGAAAGACGGUUUUGCUGUCACUUAUAGAUGGAUCCGCGCCGCAUUAGCUAGUUGGUAAGGUAACGGCUUACCAAGGCAACGAUGCGUAGCCGACCUGAGAGAGUGAUCGGCCACACGGGAACUGAGACACGGUCCAGACUCCUACGGGAGGCAGCAGUAGGGAAUCGUCCGCAAUGGGCGAAAGCUUGACGGAGCAACGCCGCGUGAGUGAUGAAGGUCUUCGGAUCGUAAAACUCUGUUAUUAGGGAAGAACAAAUGUGUAAGUAACUAUGCACGUCUUGACGGUACCUAAUCAGAAAGCCACGGCUAACUACGUG